UAGGGAAUCUUCCACAAUGGACGCAAGUCUGAUGGAGCAACGCCGCGUGAGUGAAGAAGGUUUUCGGAUCGUAAAGCUCUGUUGUUGGUGAAGAAGGAUAGAGGCAGUAACUGGUCUUUAUUUGACGGUAAUCAACCAGAAAGUCACGGCUAACUACGUGCCAGCAGCCGCGGUAAUACGUAGGUGGCAAGCGUUGUCCGGAUUUAUUGGGCGUAAAGCGAGCGCAGGCGGAAUGAUAAGUCUGAUGUGAAAGCCCACGGCUCAACCGUGGAACUGCAUCGGAAACUGUCAUUCUUGAGUGCAGAAGAGGAGAGUGGAAUUCCAUGUGUAGCGGUGGAAUGCGUAGAUAUAUGGAAGAACACCAGUGGCGAAGGCGUCUCUCUGGUCUGCAACUGACGCUGAGGCUCGAAAGCAUGGGUAGCGAACAGG
rnacentral:rRNA from 2 species